AGCAGGAAGGAAGAGAGAAUUCCUUAUUGCUCUAGGUAUCCUAUAGAAUAAAAUGAAAAUAUACAGAUAUGUUGCUCAAAUCCAUUAUGCAGGCACCUCUUUACUUUGCUACCCACCAUCUCCCUUGGCAAGAAGAUCAAGAAGGCACCCUUUCCACUAAGUUGCUCCAGUCCUCUUGUUAUCCCCUUUCUGAAACAAACAAACAAGCAGACGCACCUUUCUUGGCCAUCCCAAACCACUGUCUUCAUGCCUCUAAGACCCUGUAGAUUUCACUGAAGGUGUAGCUUUUAUGAUAAAUUUUAUUAUUCUUUAUUUUAUUCUGAUACUGUUUGUGUUUGUGUUUAUAUGUCCUGCAUGCCAAGCUAGGUGUUGUAUUGCCUGAGAUGGUGUCUAGAUCCUGGCACCCUCAAUGGCUAAUACACUGCUCUCUGUUCAUUCAUAUUGAUCAACACUUUCAUUAGGUCUGUGAUGUUCUUACUGGUUAUCAUGCUAGGCCUGAGGAUGUCACGGGUGAAUAAAACAUUAUCUACUCUCCUCGAAGUUAUAGCUUAUUGAAGAAGAAAGAUGUGGAUUGUUAAAGCUGCGGGAUGUGUGGCAGCUAGGAUGUGCCAGAACAUAGCUAUCAUUGGUUCAUUUGAGGGAAAACAAAUCACUAGCGAUGUGAUCUGUUUCUAAAUGUCAAAUGCUUUGUGUCCACUGAAGGAGAGAGGAAGCCAAGAAGGAAGUGAGAUGGAAUCCUGACAUCAGAGUGUCCAGGAGCUGGACUUCAAGCGAAUAAAACAUUCUAGAAUGGAAGAAUAUUUUAAGCAAAUUGCAGUGUUCCCUUCCAAUAAAUGCAAGCCAACUUGAACUGAUCCAGCAAUACCACCCAGGCAGCCAUCAUUUCUAAAACUCAGUUUCAUGAACAUGCUUUCAAAAGGAAAUCUGUUUCCAAUUUCAAAAGGAAUGUGGUUUCAAAAGGAAAAUUCUCUACAGCAUUCUUAUUUGAUGUAUACCUAGUGAAAAGAUAUAUCAUAUCUUGGUUAUUAAUCCUCCAGAAAGACAGCCCUUCUCCUUAGAAAUAAACAAAUGAAAUGGCAAAAUGGCUGACCAUGGUGUGGAAAUGAUUCUCAGGUGUGCUGAUGGUUUGGAGUUCCUUUUUCUCUUUCUUGCAUAUUGUCCCUACUAGAAAUACUGUAGAUUCUGCUCAGACAAUAACUAUCAUAGCUAUCAAGCUUUCUGGUUCUUAUAUAUACAAAUUUUUUAAUAUGGAAGGUCACAGUAUCUAAAUAUUUCUUUGCUUUUACAAAACCAAAUUUCAUAAUCUGGCCAAAACCCUGCCAAUAGUCUUAACCCAGUAGGAAAGUAUGUUGUU